AAGCACGCACGACGCAGGACCACUCUGACGUACGUCCGCGUUAUUCACUGUCUAUCUGCACGACGUUCGCGGUGGUAGGGGCACUCGCUGGAUGCAAAUCGGUCGUGCAAAUCCAGCAAACAAUUAAUAAUAACUAGAGGUCCCGCAGUAGUCGAAAUUCGACUAUAAUUAAUUGGAAUUUUUACCAGCCGUCCCUUCGAUGUCGUCAGCCGAUCUGCUUCUAAGUCUUCCUCUUUUUUUAUUUCCCCGAGGGCCAGGCCAUGACGUCAGCAAAAGUCCAUCUAUCGUCACUCAUUCUUGCCACGUGGCCUGCCCAUCGCCAUUUUAAUCUCACAGCAUAGCUUGGUGCAUUACUCCUGUUUCUUACUAAUGUUUUUUUAUUAUUUUUUAUUUAUUAAAUACUUUAUUUCAGUUUUUUUUUAAAACAUAACAUUUUGUUAGUAAGAAUCACUUAUAAUGUAUGUUAGUAACUUAAAAAUCAACACACAACAAAACAAAACACAUAACUAUCAGACAUAUAUUAUAUAACAUUACAACUUUUUCCAAGUGGCUGCUGCAAAGGCUAUUAAUCAGCAGUCCCUCGAUCUUACUCGAUAUGAUGUUCAGAAGAUCGUUGCCACUGUCUCUGACUCGACGCAGUAACGAUGCACUUCUCUACCGCAUUAUUGCAAAGAAGUCUUUUUUUUUCCUACCUAAUCUGAUAGCCUUGAGAGGCUAUUUCAGCUGACUUAUGCUUCUAAUACAUAUUUACCCCAUGAUGGUUUCCAGCGAUUUUUAAGCUGUUAGCAAGAAGCUAUUUAAGCUACCAUCGGCUCCAUUCAAAUGUUUUGUUUUAGCUGUAAGUAUGUAAGAAGAUCGUACUAAAUACAUAAAUGUCU